AGCGUUAGCUUAGCAUUAGCUUAGCGUUCUGUUGCGUGGUACUGUAAACCCUGUGAGCUGGAAUGCGUCACAAACCUCGUGAGUUGUUUUUCCUGCCUGAUUAUUCUGUGGUCAUUAACCAACGCUCUCUGUUCCUCAGCGGUGUGUGAGGUGAAUAUCCAUCAUCAUUUCACAGAGUCCAGAUUUCGCCGUUGCGUUCGCUCUAAUCCGUCGCAGCAGGUCAGGAGAGGAGAGAGGAGCAGAGGGAGAGUUGAGGGAGAAUAAUGCCAUUUCAGGCAGCUGAGCUGAACGAGGAUUCACCUUCAGAGCCUGACAGAGACGGAGAGGCAGCAGAUCAAGAGCAACACAAGUGGACAUCAGACCUGGUGCUUGUAUGGCAAAUGGAAGGCAAACAGAGCGCCGCGCUGUGCAGGAAGGGGCACCCGCCGCGCUGCGGCACAUAAUUGAAUCUUUCACAUGCGGAUACUUGGAACAGAUGGGCUUGCUUUUAUUUAAACAUAAGAACAACAAAACAAAUGUUAGCCACUGAAAAAUUAAAGAUGGCGGCCAUUUUUCAAAG